rnacentral:tRNA from 1 species
UGCCCGAUAGUGUAACGGUUAGCACAACAGAUUUUGAUUCUGUUUGUCCAGGUUCGAAUCCUGGUCGGGCAA